CUGUGGGGUUGUCCUUUAGGGCCCAAACCAGGAAUUCAAACCCAAAACCCAUGUUGGAAGGAUGCAGAAAAUUUGAGACUUUGUAUGCAAUUAGUGGAAUGCAGAAUGGCGCAACUACCCUGGAAAAGCCUGUUGAGUAUCCUCAGAGAG